UACGUAGGGGGCUAGCGUUGUCCGGAUUUAUUGGGCGUAAAGAGCUCGUAGGCGGUGUGUCGCGUCGGCCGUGAAAACCUGCAGCUUAACUGUGGGCUUGCGGUCGAUACGGGCAUCACUGGAGUUCGGCAGGGGAGACUGGAAUUCCUGGUGUAGCGGUGAAAUGCGCAGAUAUCAGGAGGAACACCGAUGGCGAAGGCAGGUCUCUGGGCCGAUACUGACGCUGAGGAGCGAAAGCGUGGGGAGCGAACAGG
rnacentral:rRNA from 1 species